rnacentral:lncRNA from 1 species
CUUUUAGCCUACACUAAAUGUUCCCAGGAUCUCUAGAAAGCACACAUUUUGGAGGUUGAUGAUGGGAACAGAUGUAUCCUGUGAUGCCUACCAUUUCUGCAGAUGGUACGUACAAGGUGCAAGAAAAAUCGAACAUCAGGAAAAUAGAACUAAUCCCUUAUGUUUAUAUGAUGCGCUGAUAUUUUACAGAACAUUUUCAGUCAGAAUCUCCAAUGAUCUCUGUGAUAAAGUGGAUGGAGUACAGGUGGGAGAAGCGAGCUUCAGAAAUAUCAAGGAACUUGCUCAAAGCCACUCAGGUAGCCAAGAUCACGUCUCCUCCAAAGAGCAAACACCGAGAUGAUGGAGAAAUUAGACUGCUUAAGGAGUUCCUGUCCCACCCGUCAGCAGCAACCUUAUGAAACAGGCAGUGCAAGUAAUAUUGCUAUGGAUGAUGAAACCAAGGAUGAACAAGACAGAGCAAGAAGAUAACCUUCUGCAAGCCAAGAAGGGAGCUCUCCCCAGAGCCCAACCGUGUUAGAGCACUAAUCUCAGACUUCCAGCCUCCAGAAUUGGGGAAAAAUCAGGAGCUGACCUUGGACUCACGAGAUGCAAACCUGAGCCGUAGAGCGGUGCAUAGCCCGGCCGGCAUCAGAUAGGCAUACAGCAGCACCCCUUCUGUCUCCGUACUUGAGCACUGCACUGCAUGUCUGCUCAGGCCACCGUCUCAAUCUCCAUGUCUACACCUCCUCCACGAGUGACGGCAUAGCCUGGCAGCAGAGUGGGCAGAGGUGGACGAAGGGGGGUCCUGGCCUCCAGAAGACCUAGCGGCAGAGAUCCACUGGCUGGCUAGAUUCAGGGGAAGAACCCCCCCCGCCCACGGGAGAACUGUGAACAUCAGUUCAGGGCCCCUUUUCCUGAACCGGAGGCUCAGAAUGGGGGAGACAGAGCCUGGC